rnacentral:rRNA from 1 species
GACGAACGCUGGCGGCGUGCUUAACACAUGCAAGUCGAACGAGUGGCGAACGGGUGAGUAAUACGUGAGUAACCUGCCCUCUUUUUGGGAUAAGCCUUGGAAACGGUGUCUAAUACCGGCUAACGGGGGAUGGGCUCGCGGCCUAUCAGCUUGUUGGUGGGGUGAUGGCCUACCAAGGCGGUGACGGGUAGCCGGCCUGAGAGGGUGGCCGGCCACAGUGGGACGGAGAUACGGCCCAGGGUGCUAAGGGAGGGGGCAGUGGGGGAUAUUGCACAAUGGGCGAAAGCCUGAUGCAGCGAGGGCGCGUGGGGGAUGAAGGCUUUCGGGUUGUAAACCUCUUUCGGUAUCGAACGGUAGGUAAAGAAGAAGCGCCGGCUAACUACGUGCCAGCAGCCGCGGUAAUAC